rnacentral:rRNA from 1 species
GCGUUAUCCGGAAUGAUUGGGCGUAAAGGGUCCGCAGGUGGCUAUGUAAGUCUGCUGUUAAAGAACCUAGCUUAACUAGGUAAAAGCAGUGGAAACUACAAGGCUAGAGUGCGUUCGGGGUAGAGGGAAUUCCUGGUGUAGCGGUGAAAUGCGUAGAUAUCAGGAAGAACACCAGUGGCGAAGGCGCUCUACUAGGCCGCAACUGACACUGAGGGACGAAAGCUAG